UGCCACGGAGCUAGAGGGCAAGUGGGCUCGGCCCAGCGUGCAGGGAACGCGGGCGGCCAGACAACGGGCUGGGCUCCGGGGCCUGCGGCGCGGGCGCUGAGCUGGCAGGGCGGGUCGGGGCGCGGGCUGCAUCCGCAUCUCCUCCAUCGCCUGCAGUAAGGGCGGCCGCGGCGAGCCUUUGAGGGGAACGACUUGUCGGACCCCUAACCAGGGGUAUCUCUGAGCCUGGCGGGAUCCCCGGAGCGUCACAUCACUUUCCGAUCACUUCAAAGUACAGCAGACCGAGGACACGGUUGUUAUCAAGACCAGGCUGUUGCCUUGGAAGAGCCCAGAGCGUGUCAAGGGAGACAGCCACAUCACGCCAGAAAUACAUGACAGCUGGAUUAGCCCUGGGAGAGGGAGGCCCAGAUGUGGGAGCUCAGGGGAGGUGCAGCUCAACGUGGAGUUUGGAGGAGGCUACCUUGACCUCUGAAUGCCAAGUAGGAGCCAGCCAGAUGAAAGGGUAGGAGAAAGUGUUUGUAUAUCCUCAGUGCCCUUUCAUCCUUGC
rnacentral:lncRNA from 1 species